UUUAGAUGAAAGAACUAAUAAAAUAUGGCGGUAAAUGUGCCUUGGAAGCGGUUAAGACGAUCGGAAUAUGUGUUGUAAUGGGGUGAUGCAAUCUGACAAAGAAUAGAAAAAUAUAGAAUUCUUUAAAAUAUUAA